rnacentral:ncRNA from 1 species
CGUGUGGUGUUUGGCAAAUUACCGUGUAAAUCAGGGUAAGGUUGACCAGAUAGCGACACGGCCUUUACUGAGGU